rnacentral:rRNA from 1 species
CACACUGGGACUGAGACACGGCCCAGACUCCUACGGGAGGCAGCAGCAGGGAAUAUUGCGCAAUGGGCGAAAGCCUGACGCAGCAACGCCGCGUGGGGGAUGAAGGCCCUCGGGUUGUAAACCCCUUUCGACAGGAACGAAUCUGACGGUACCUGAAGAAGAAGCCCCGGCCAACUACGUGCCAGCCGCCGCAGUAAUAC